rnacentral:rRNA from 1 species
CGAACGCUGGCGGCGCGCUUAAGCAUGCAAGUCGAACGGCAAGAGGUAGCAAUACCUCCUAGAGUGGCGGACUGGUGAGUAACACGUGGGUGACAUACCCUUCAGAUGGGGAUAGCUAUUAGAAAUAGUAGAUAAUACCGAAUACGAGCACAGGGGUUAGAGAUCUGUGAGGAAAGGAGCUAAGGCUCCGCUGAAGGAAUGGCCUGCGGCCCAUUAGCUAGUGGUGAGGUAAGAGCCCACCAAGGCGAUGAUGGGUAUCCGGCCUUAGAGGGUGAACGGACACAUUGGGACUGAGAUACGGCCCAGACUCCUACGGGAGGCAGCAGCUAAGAAUAUUCCGCAAUGGACGAAAGUCUGACGGAGCGACGCCGCGUGGAUGAAGAAGGCCGGAAGGUUGUAAAAUCCUUUUGAAACUGAAGAAUAAGCGUUGUAGGGAAUGACAGCGUGGUGACAGUAGGUUUUGAAUAAGCAACGGCUAAUUACGUGCCAGCCGCUGC